UUGCCAGACACGGUUGAUCUCACCCUCCGGGGGGGCUAUAGAGAUCGCUGGAAGCACUACCGGACAACCGGAACAUUGCAGAAAUGCAGCCC
rfam:{defective interfering RNA DI15} [cucumber necrosis virus CNV, Genomic RNA, 622 nt].